AGAACAAGCCAAAAAGAGAAGUUCUUAAGAAGACUGAAGUAAAGGGAAAGUAUUUCCACUAUGAUACUGAAGGCCACUAGAGGAGGAACUGUCCACUCUACCUGGAGAGCCUAAAGGCCAAAAAGGGUGAUAAACUUUCAAAAGGUAUGCUCGUAAUUGAAUCUAACCUUACAAUUUCUUCUACUUCUAGUUGGACAUUAGACUCUGGCUCGAGUGCUGAUAUAUGUACC
rnacentral:lncRNA from 1 species